CGACCUACUAAGUUUACUUGUCAGGAUUGUUCGAGGGUAGAACCAUGCAGGGUUAUCUACAACUAAAUGUGCAUUAAUCUGUUGAUCAAAUACCCAUCUUAGUUACAGAUAUCAAGAGUGAGGAAAACAUUGAGAUCGAGGUCACUGUGAUGAAGAAUGCAACCUUAGUAAGUUAAUGUAUAGUCUUGUGUAAGCUAGGAGACAUUUGGUUAAGUUACUGAAAUAAGUAGAUGAAAAGAAUGGGUGUGAUUACAGAAAGGACCCUCUUUUCAGUUUACCCCAAAACUGUAAAUACUAUAAUAUUUUACAAUGGAUCAGUUGUUUGCUCUAGCACUUAAAAAUGCAGAAUCUUCUACAGAUCAACACCACACUGGAGGAGGUGAACAGGGGUCUUCGGGACAAAAAUUGUCAGCUUGAAGAGAAGAAUGUCGCUCUACAUCAAAAACUCCACAGCACUGAGAAGAUGUAUAGACAGACUCUAAACGAGCUGUAAGUGGAUUUUGAUAUUAGUUUGAUCAUAUUAGGAUUUGUUCUCAUUCACAUGACAUGCACAUUGGUGUUUGUCUUUUCACAGGACCAAAGCCCUGAUUCAAGGCAAACAUGAGGAAAAGCAACAUGUAAGUAAGCCUAAGACAGCCUGCCAAAUACUGAUCCAUAACCGCUCAAUAGUAAGCUAAACUACGAAGUACUUAAACCAAACCAUAAGCCCCAGUAUCAACACUCGUAUUGGGUCACGUGAUAGGAUGUCUUUGCACACAUUUCUAACGCAAUUUUUGUUCUCUCUUCAGAUUGACACGCUACAAGAGAAAAUCCAGACCAUAUCUGUAAGUAGAACAUUCACUUUAAAGUUAGCUACUGUAGUUGCACUAAGGUGUUAUUAGCUACGUUUUGCUAGUUACUCUGUGUCUUGCUGUACACUAAGAUAUACAGUGUUGCUUGAAUGUAUGUGAACCCUACAGGACUGUUCAUUAUUUUGCUAUAAAAUCAACAUAUAAAAUCCUUAUCUAAACCCCAAUUCAUAAGAAAAACAU
rnacentral:lncRNA from 1 species